UUUGACAAGCCCUUUCAUUUCUGAUCACCCUAGGAGAGAAACUGCUUGAUCCCACCUUGCCUCGGGCUGUCCAGAAUCCUUCGCCUGGAAGAUGGACCGCUGAGGGAUGAAGUUGAAUCAGUGCAUCUCCACCUUCCACACCUAGAAGAAAGAAUAUAGAAGUAAGUAUUCCCCACCUCCCCAACCCCCGUCAAUCAUCUCCAUCCGUUAGGGCUUACCAUCAACUC
rnacentral:lncRNA from 12 species